rnacentral:lncRNA from 1 species
GUGUGUGUGUGUGUGUGUGGAAGCGCGUGAGCUAAUAUAUUGAUUUCUGGAUGAUCUAAUGCAUAAGCAGGAAAUUUCUAAAAUAUCUAAGUUUUUGUUAAAUGUGCCUUAAAUUUUGUAUGGAAACAUGGAAAAUAAGAACUGCGAUGAGGCCCAAAAAAAAUUGCAUCGGCACUGGCAUGUGGUAAACUGUCUAGUCUAUUGUGUAGGUCGGAACUGUGAUUUGUGGUUUAGCACCAUAUCCAAAAUUCUGGAUGGAUAAAUAUUAUCCCUUCAGAGGAAGGUGCAAAGAGCACGUAGACACCGGGCAGAUCCUACCAUCUGAAAUAAAUGGAGUUUACAUAUAUCCGACUUAAUCCAAGAGAAACGAAACACACAAAAUGAAAUUCAGUCCAACUCCAAAAUUCUAACUCAAACACAA